rnacentral:other from 1 species
UCAAGUCUGCUGUGUUCGUGAUGGCGACUAUGUUUUGAGCCCAAUUUUUGAGUGACGGGGGCUGACCAUACGGCAUCAAGGUGAUAGGCUCAAGCCAAGACCCCACUGUCGGAAGAGUCCCCACCUGCGACAAGCAGGUUCAAAACAACGCACACACGGCAUGGCGGGCUUUUG